rnacentral:rRNA from 1 species
AUUGAACGCUGGCGGCAUGCUUUACACAUGCAAGUCGAACGGUAACAGGCCGCAAGGUGCUGACGAGUGGCGAACGGGUGAGUAAUGCAUCGGAACGUGCCCAAUCGUGGGGGAUAACUACUCGAAAGAGUAGCUAAUACCGCAUACGAUCUAUGGAUGAAAGCGGGGGACCGUAAGGCCUCGCGCGAUUGGAGCGGCCGAUGUCAGAUUAGGUAGUUGGUGGGGUAAAGGCUCACCAAGCCAACGAUCUGUAGCUGGUCUGAGAGGACGACCAGCCACACUGGGACUGAGACACGGCCCAGACUCCUACGGGAGGCAGCAGUGGGGAAUUUUGGACAAUGGGCGCAAGCCUGAUCCAGCAAUGCCGCGUGCAGGAAGAAGGCCUUCGGGUUGUAAACUGCUUUUGUACGGAACGAAACGGCUCUGGUUAAUACCCGGGGCUAAUGACGGUACCGUAAGAAUAAGCACCGGCUAACUACGUG